GUACAUUGUUCCUUUUACAUAACAAGAGUUGAGAACAAGAGUUGAUCACAUGUAGGAUACUGACUGAAUAUUAAGAGCAUGUCCACUAUGUUUGUGUCAUAUUAUCUUUCCUCAUGAUGUGAUCAUGAUGAUACAUAACUACUUUACAUGCAUAUUAUGUCACCUUAAUUCCUUUUAUUCUUUUUUACUGUAGACUGACUAGUGUUUCUUGACUUUCUUUUGCCUUUCUUUUUUGUCAUAUUACCACUUCCAUUUUUCAUAUAGAAUGACUGGGAUUGGUAUUGAACACCUUCCUUAUGUAGGAAAGCAUCAGCCUUUUUUGAUUUCAUUCUCUUAUGCCUCUUUCUUCUUUCUUUCACACUGCUUCUAUCUUUGUACUCUGCACCAUAUAUACGCUUGUCAUCAAUCAUUUUGAAGGCUUUUAGCAUGCUUUCAUUUACUGGCACAUCAAGCAUUGGUAAGAGUUGAGAAUAAGUGACUUCUACUCCACAAUUGAACAACAAAACUCCAAGAUUAACUGCUAUGUUGUUUUCCACUUGUGAUGUGAAUUGGUCCUUUGGAGCAAUACCCCAAAUGACGUGGUGUACACUUUCAUUGGGAUUUUGCGUUGAGCAGCUUUCACACCCAGCAAGGAAAUUCUUAUUUCCAAGUUUGUCGAAUACUGGUUUAAUGACCUUGACAACUGCAGGAGGGAGAGGGUCCUUUAUUGGUCGGUGGGUCUUUGUUUUCAGGGCUAGAUCUCGUUGGAAGCUACACCAUGAAUUUGGACCAGUUGGACAACAUUGGUGUUGAGGUUUGUUCUCUGUACUGGAAUAAUGUAGCAAUAUUGCCUGGGUUGCAUUUGACAUUGCUGAGGAAGAACCUUUAUUUUGUCGAAUGCAGAGCCCAUAAAAGCUCUGUAUUGUGUCAAUUCGUGCUAUUGUGAGCCUGCCUGCCCCUCCAAGACACUUGCCAUCUUCUAGUUUUCUCCCUGAUAGUAAUUUACAAUAAUAAAUAGUUUUAAAAAGUAUAUGUAGUACACAUU